rnacentral:sRNA from 1 species
UGAACUUCAUAAACGUUCAACUGGUAAAUCUAUUUAUAUCCUAGAUGAACCGACAACAGGGUUA